GACAGAGGGUGCAAACGUUGUUCGGAAUUACUGGGCGUAAAGCGCGUGUAGGCAGCCGUGCAAGUCGGAUGUGAAAGCCCUGGGCUCAACCUAGGAAGUGCAUUCGAAACUGCAAGGCUGGAGCCUGGAGAGGAAGGCGGAAUUCUCGGUGUAGAGGUGAAAUUCGUAGAUAUCGAGAGGAACACCGGUGGCGAAGGCGGCCUUCUGGACAGUGACUGACGCUGAGA
rnacentral:rRNA from 1 species